rnacentral:lncRNA from 1 species
GGGCUUAAGAUAUGCAUUGACAAUAAUUGCUUGAAUGAUAAUUUUGUUCAAUUUAUUCGGGAUAUUUGUCUAAUUCUAAUAUUUGUAUUAUUAUUCAUGUAGUGUUUUUGUGGAUAGUUGAUUUGGACGAAUCUUCUCAAAAGCAAGCCUAAACAUACCUUUUUGUAGUGAUGUUAUAUGAAAAAAUGAAAAAAGGGAAAACAUCCAUAUCAACCAAUUGCUGCAUUUCAAAUUGUCAUGUUGUACUUAAAUGUA